GAAUGUUGGGAACCGAUCUGAUUCCAAGGAUUGAGAAGUUUUGCAGUGGUCAACUGGUAUAGACAUCCCAUUACCACUACUUCCUUCAUUGGACUGCAAGGUAUUUCUGUUUGGAAAAGUAAUGGAGUCCAGUCAACUUCAUUGAUCGCCAAGGACUGUCAAAAUUAUAAAACUUGCUGUGGAGCUCUGACAUGCCAGAAGCCGCUAGAAAAAGAAGUUUGACAUUCAGAAACUUAUCAAGAGGUUCUACUCUUUGGAUAGAGACCAAAAUCAUACUUUGAAAAAGCCUGACAGGUUUCUUCGGAAAAGUGGCCAUCCAUGGAAUGAAUGAAAUGUUCUCUUUCUAUUCCACCUCUAGAGACCAUCAAAAAACAAUGGCUCAUAAUGCUUUUAGAACAGAAACUGAAGUUGUAUACUGUGCAUAUGUAAUCCUACACAAGAGGAAGGCAAUGUUUAAAGCUGCUGUCACCUCUUAGGGAAAAAACUGGAAUUCUGAGUCAAGGGAUUGCAGUGGCAAAGCUAGGCUAGGUCUUGGAGGCUGGUGUAAGGCGAUGUGGGUGAAGGCAGGAGGCUGAUGGAAAGACUGGGGGGAAGAAAAGCCGAAAUGGAUUCACGGUGCCUUGGAUGAAGGACGAGAGGGGAACUGCAAGCUCCUUCAACUGGUUCUGUCCGGUGAGAAGUGAUCAAGCUUGGGCUGACAAGAGGCUCAGGGAGCCCUCACGUUCUUUCGCUUUUUUACCUGCCAAUCAAACUGCUACAAGACAACACCCUGAUCUGGCAUGGACAUAAUCAAGCUUUGGUCAUUCCGGAAGUCGUGUAGCAUGCUCCAAUUUGAAGUGACUGAGAUCUUUUGUGACUUACAGAGGAGAAGGAAAUGUUUUAAAAAUUGGCUUAUGCCAGUCUCCUUACUCUGAAAUUCUCAAUUUUCUUGUAUUACAGGAUAAAUAUAAAUAUCAUCUCACCAAAUUG
rnacentral:lncRNA from 1 species